AUAGUGUAGAUGAGAUUAUCUUGUUUUACUUUUUGUUUAUUUUCUUAAAAUAUUGGUUCAUUUAGACUUAAUUUAGCUAAUAUUGUUGUGACAUUACUUUUACUAAUUUUUGGCAUUAGUUGGGUAGAUAUAUGUGUUUCAUUGGGAUAACCAGAUUUAAGCUUGCUUCAAUUAACUCGUUUUACGCCUUUCUGUUUCUCAUAUCCCUUUGAUAACUGAUUACUUUUGAAACUGUGUUCUACAUUUGAUACAGUCGGAGUGGGAACCAACUUUGUCAAUCAAGCAAUUUAUUUAUUUAGUUCUUUUCAUCAACUUGAGUUGCUCUUAACCUACAAUUGCUGGAAAAAUGAGGGUGGUGAGUUGGAAUAAUGCUUGCUAGUAUGGUUAAACUUUUUGCACAAGAUUUUGUCAUGUUCUUGCCAUUAUGAGUUGCAACCUUAAUAAAUAUCAUAUCAAUUUGGUACAAGAAUAGCAUUAUCAGAGUAGCCUAGCAUUGCCACGGUUUUGGGGGCUAUUAGUUGGUAAUUUGUGCAGCUCCUGUUUGGCCAGAAUUUAUCUUUUCCUCAAUGAAACCAGAUUGUGAAUGGAAAGCACAAGCAGACAAUGUAUUUAUUGUUUCCUUCGACUGGAGUUGCAGUGGAAUUUGCAAGUUAGUAGAGAAG
rnacentral:lncRNA from 1 species